rnacentral:lncRNA from 1 species
UGUUGUGGCUGGCAGGUUUCAUGGCACGGCACCCAGCCUACGGUUUGUGCCACGGCCAAAGCCAAGCAGGCUGUCAGCUCCCUGCUGUCCUCGGCCAUCGCAGGGGAAAAGCCUUCCCAGGGGGGCACGGAGCUGUGCUGGGUCAUCUGCCUGCUGCUGGAGCCCCGCGCCUGCUGCAAGCCCGAGCCCCGGCCCAGGCAGGCCCUGGCCGAGCGGGGCUGUGACGUGGCCGUGGUGCCUCCUGUGAAACGCUUCCCUCCCCGCCUGGAGCGGGCAGAGAGCCCGCAAUGAGCCCUUGUCAGGUGUGCUGCUGUGCUAAUAACGCUGCUCGCAUUGCUGCGCUUUGUUGCUUUGUGUUUUUGAAGCCUACAGCACUUUGUUCGUGGCUAAUAUGAAAAGCAGGCAGCUUCCACAGCACUCGGGGAGAGAGACGCAACUCUUCGGAAGAAGAUAAAGAGCUUCUGCAAAUAUUUAUGCACAGAAAAUCGAUCAAACUGUAAUGUGUCUCGUUUAAAAAACAAUUGUGUGUAUUUGUGUGGUUGUAGCUCCUGCAGCUGGCGUGAGAAGGAAAAGCUGUUUGUCUAUCGCAGGUGGAUGGGUGGAGAAAUUGCCCACCAAAACACCCAGAGGCAGCAUCAGGGACAAGAAGGGACAGUUCCUGUGCCAUGGGGCAGUGAUGCCACCUGGUCCUCAGCCCACCAGGAAAGCACUCGGUGCUGCAGGAGCACAGGCUUCUGCUGGUGCCUGUGAUGGAGACACCUGGGGGCGUUGGCAGGAUUUUAUUUAAUGCUCUCAAUCGCCUGCUGGGGCUGUUGAGAAACAGGUGCCUGCAUCUCCUCUGGGGCCUGAGCCUGUCCUGGCCGCUGGGUGCUGCUGCAGGGGCUUGGAGUUUGCCUCGUCCUCCUGCUGGCUGCUGCUGCUGCUCCCUGCCUGCCCCUGAGCACCUCAGUAGGAGUCUGCCAUUCCUUCAAGAAAGAGGCGUACUUGCCAAAACACCCAGAUGCCGCCUGACUUCUUUCUAGGAGACAAAAUAGGAGAGUUCCUUGUCUGUGCUGUGCUCCGAACUUGGCCAUGAGCAUGCAGAGAACAGGUGGGACUGUGCCCUUGCAUGGACUGGGCGGCUGGCGGGCCAGUAUGGGAGCAGACCGAAUUAACACAGAGGACAUGAGUGGCACAUCCCAGAGCCCUGGUGGAGUCACCCUGAGCCGGUCGUGCUGCCGUCCCUGCCGCCGCCUCCCGCACGUGCUAUUCAAUGAGAAACGUGAGUUUUAUGGGGAGGGGGGGGGGGGGGGGAAAUCUUCAAAUAUUCAUUUUAUUGUGAAAUGAUUUUUUUUUCCUUUACAUGUGAGAUUUCCAGAAACUUGCCAGCAGGGCGGUUCUCUAAGGAUGAACAUUUGCUGAAAGCCUGUUUUAAAGGAUGUGUGUGUAUUCAUAGAAACAGACCUUCGCAUUCUAACACACGACUGACUACAGUGGGAGUUGUCCUUCCCACAGCUACUGAGACGAAACUGGGCCUUGUUACUUAUUUUAUCAGUUGCAGAUAAGCAAGGUAACGUGGAAUUAACAAUCUACAGUAUGGGAUAAAAAACUAUUUAAAGAGGCUGCUUCUUGGUUAAAAAUCAUCAAAGAGAUAACAACCCAUUGUGUAUCUGCAGAGAGAAAGAUGAAUCAGUUAUCCUACUGUAGAGAAGUACUUAAAAAUACCCUUAAACUUUUUUUUUUUUUUUUCAUCUUCUCUAAUGAUUUGAGAGACUUCUCUGUCUAGAUAUGUUGAUGAAAAUCCGAUGGAAAUUCACAGCUUUUCUGACGCUGUUGGCUCUGGCUAUGCAAUGUGCUUAGGAAUGUUUCCAAGAUAAGGAUGUCAAAAUUAAGCCCAGUAUUAAGCUUUCAUUUCUGAUACCUUAUAACAGGAUUCAUCAGGAUUUAGUCCUUUUGAUCAAGCCAGGAGGUUUAAGAAUCCCACAAGACUCGAUACGAUCUUACCAGCUGAAUGCUUGUCAGCGUCUUAUUUCUACACAUCACGCAUGAUCCCGUGAUUUGUCUUUGUUUCUGUCUUUUUACUGUGUUUUGUGGAUCUUUAGAGGGAGUACAUUGCUAAGCUUAGUUUAACUAGAACAAUCUCUAUUAAAUAAAAUUUGUUCUGGAUAGAUAAGUGUCCCUGUU